rnacentral:rRNA from 1 species
UAUUGGACAAUGGGCGCAAGCCUGAUCCAGCCAUGCCGCGUGAGUGAUGAAGGCCCUAGGGUUGUAAAGCUCUUUUGUGCGGGAAGAUAAUGACGGUACCGCAAGAAUAAGCCCCGGCUAACUUCGUGCCAGCAGCCGCGGUAAUACGAAGGGGGCUAGCGUUGCUCGGAAUCACUGGGCGUAAAGGGUGCGUAGGCGGGUUUCUAAGUCAGAGGUGAAAUCCUGGAGCUCAACUCCAGAACUGCCUUUGAUACUGGAAGUCUUGAGUAUGGGAGAGGUGAGUGGAACUGCGAGUGUAGAGGUGAAAUUCGUAGAUAUUCGCAAGAACGCCAGUGGCGAAGGCGGCUCACUGGCCCAUUACUACGCUGAGCACAAA